GGGAAUUCGAUUAGAGUUUGAUCAUGGCUCAGAACGUACGCUGGCGGCACGCCUAAUACAUGCAAGUCGAACGAAGUAGCAAUACUUAGUGGCAGACGGGUGAGUAACAUGUAGGUAUCUUCCCAUUGGUGAGGAAUAACACGAGGAAACUUGUGCUAAUACCUCAUAAGUCUUUACGGAGAAAGCUUUAUGCGCCGAUGGAUGAGCCUGCACUUGAUUAGUUUGUUGGUAGGGUAAUGGCCUACCAAGACAAUGAUCAAUAGCUGAUUUGAGAGGAUGAUCAGCCACAUUGGGACUGAGACACGGCCCAAACUCCUACGGGAGGCAGCAGUAGGGAAUCUUGCACAAUGGGGGAAACCCUGAUGCAGCGAUGCCGCGUGAGUGAAGAAGGCCUUUGGGUUGUAAAGCUCUUUCGUCGGGGAAGAAAAUGACUGUACCCGAAUAAGAAGGUCCGGCUAACUUCGUGCCAGCAGCCGCGGUAAUACGAAGGGACCUAGCGUAGUUCGGAAUUACUGGGCUUAAAGAGUUCGUAGGUGGUUAAAAAAGUUGGUGGUGAAAUCCCAGAGCUUAACUCUGGAACUGCCAUCAAAACUUUUUAGCUAGAGUAUGAUAGAGGAAAGCAGAAUUUCUAGUGUAGAGGUGAAAUUCGUAGAUAUUAGAAAGAAUACCAAUUGCGAAGGCAGCUUUCUGGAUCAUUACUGACACUGAGGAACGAAAGCAUGGGUAGCGAAGAGGAUUAGAUACCCUCGUAGUCCAUGCCGUAAACGAUGUGUGUUAGACGUUGGAAAUUUAUUUUCUGUGUCGCAGCGAAAGCAAUAAACACACCGCCUGGGGAGUACGACCGCAAGGUUAAAACUCAAAUGAAUUGACGGGGACCCGCACAAGUAGUGGAGCAUGUGGUUUAAUUCGAAGAUACGCGCAGAACCUUACCAACACUUGACAUGUUCGUCGCGACUUUAAGAGAUUAAAGUUUUCGGUUCGGCCGGACGAAACACAGGUGCUGCAUGGCUGUCGUCAGCUCGUGUCGUGAGAUGUUGGGUUAAGUCCCGCAACGAGCGCAACCCUCACUUUUAGUUGCCAUCAUUUAGUUGGGCACUCUGAAAGAACUGCCAGUGAUAAGCUGGAGGAAGGUGGGGAUGACGUCAAGUCCUCAUGGCCCUUACGUGUUGGGCUACACACGUGCUACAAUGGCAUUUACAAUAGGAAGCAAAACGGCGACGUUAAGCAAAUCCUAAAAAAAUGCCUCAGUUCGGAUUGUACUCUGCAACUCGAGUACAUGAAGCUGGAAUUACUAGUAAUCGCGGAUCAGCGCGCCGCGGUGAAUACGUUCCC
rnacentral:rRNA from 1 species